UACGGAAGGGGCAAGCGUUGUUCGGAAUCAUUGGGCGUAAAGGGCGUGUAGGCGGUCUCAUGUGUCCGCUGUGAAAGAACACGGCUCAACCGUGUGGAGCGGCGGAAACUGUGGGACUUGAGGCUGGGAGGGGCUGGUGGAAUUCCCUGUGUAGCGGUGAAAUGCGUAGAGAUGGGGGAGAACACUCGUGGCGAAGGCGGCCAGCUGGACCAGUUCUGACGCUGAGACGCGAAAGCGUGGGGAGCAAACAGG
rnacentral:rRNA from 1 species